GUAACAGCUUUUGGGGUUUUUUUGUUUGUUUGUUUGUUUUCAAUUGGAGGAGAUUUCCUUUCUUUUCGUGGUGACAGGUUUUCACUCUUCCCAAAACUUAGGAAACUGUUCUCCGGCUCAAUGGGGUGGGAAGUUACCCGGAACGCAAUUUCUCCUCCUCCGGCCUGAAGUCAGGUUGGCGGUAGGAUUGCCAGAUAAGAUACAAAAUACCCAAUUAAAUUUGAAUUUCAGAUAAAGGAAGAACAACAUUUUGCAUACAAAUCAAGCAACACUACCUGGUGAGGCCGGGCGUCCGUGAGCGGGCUAUGGGGCAAAGAGAGAGGCGAGGAGCGCCCCACUUGCCAAAGGAAAAAAAGUUCAUUACCCUGCUCCCCUGGCUCCUGUCCACGUCUGCCUGGCCUUGUAGGGUUGGAGAAACAAACCCUCUUCUGGCAAAGGCAGAGGGGCAAACACUCUUCUGUGAUCCAAACAGCUGGGAGUGCAGAGUCCCUGUCCAGGAUACCACCCCUCACUGUAUUAAGGUCCAGUGGGGUUGGGUCAGGGCAGUGAGGGGGAUGGCAAGAAGUACUGAGAAGCUCUCAAUCAGCCAGGGGCAUAAAUGUACUCAAAUAACAUCUACAACCAAAAGACCAAAAAGUAUCUAUUCCAGGCUCAGGGCUGCAUGAGAGAAAGAAAAGGCCAUAUGCAUCAGUGGCUGGGUGGCCAGGGCCUUGAUGAUGGUCUGGGCCUUGAGGGAAUGGUGAGGCAGGGCCUCAGGACAGAGAUGACAGGAAUUCAACUAGAUAGAGUGCUAACCUUCCUGUAGUCACAGACAUCAGCUCUAGGGUGUGGUGGGG
rnacentral:lncRNA from 10 species